rnacentral:lncRNA from 1 species
AUGUCUCCUGUCCAGAACCUCCACUCUUUCGACCCCUUUGCUGAUGUAAGUAAGGGUGAUGGCCUCCUUUCUGCAGGCACUGAGGAUUAUACCCAUGUAAGAAUUCAACAGAGAAACGGCAGGAAAACCCUUACUACUGUCCAAGGGAUUGCUAAUGAUUUACCACAAAAAGGAACUAGUGAAGGCAUUUAAGAAGAAAUUUGCCUACAAUUGUACUAUAAUUGAGCAUCCAGAAUAUGAAGAAGUAAUUCAGCUCCAGGUGACCAGCACAAGAACACAUGCCAUUUUCUGACAGAGACUGAACUAGCUAAGGACAAUCAGCAGAAGGUUCAUGGUUUU